UCACUUCAGUGUUUGGGCCUGGAGAAAUUUUAAUUUAUAAGUUGUUAGGAAAGACAGUGAAUGGUGGGUUUUAUGUCGGAAGGUUAUUUCAAUAGAACUAAGGCAUGUACACACCAUAAAGAGACUGAAUUCCAUUGACAUCGUCCUUGGGCAGAACAAACGUGUUUGGAUCCCUGUAGCUGUAUGUGGGGUACAUCAGAGCACCGGGGUCGUUGGAGUGUGAGAGGCCCAGAGAGUGUCCAAAUUCAUGAGCAGCCACCAGGAACAGAACAUAUCCUGAAUAAAAAGCACAUGAUGUUUAUUAAAGAUUUAUAAGUUGUGCUAGUAUAUUUAGUGUAUUUCUAAUUUGCAUGGUUCAGUCUAUUAACCCGGCUCACCGUUAGUGGAACGGAAGGUGAAAAGUUCAUCAUCAUCAAAAUGGGCAUCUCCACCAAUGCCAGAAGAAGGAGCAAAAGCAUGAGCCAGAGUGCCAUCUGGUCCGUCGAAUGGUUUUUUUGUAGCCAAUUCCCACCUGCUAGGAAGCUACGAUGCCCGCUAACUAUGAUUCCUGCUAGCUACGACACUAUCAUGCUGGGAGAGUGAAGGCUAAGACGUGCUUCCUUCAAGACACAUGAAGUAACAGACAAGCACAUUUCAGCAACAAGCUAAGUGAUGGAGGAAGAGUGAAGACCUACCCAAGUCCUACCCACCCAGAGAGAGGAAGGGCAGUUAUGAUCUUUUGGAAUCUAACUCACAACCUCCUGAUGAUAAGGUCAAAACUUUGGGGCUGUAAGGACAUUUGAUUUGGCCCACCAGAAAGUUACCUGAAUCCCACUGCCUCACCCAAUGAGAGAGCUAACAUAAU